rnacentral:rRNA from 1 species
UACAGAGGGUGCGAGCGUUAAUCGGAAUUACUGGGCGUAAAGCGCACGUAGUCGGCUUUGCAAGUUGGGUGUGAAAUCCCCGGGCUCAACCUGGGAACUGCAUCCGAGACUGCAUUGCUAGAGUAUGGGAGAGGGAAGCGGAAUUCCCGGUGUAGCGGUGAAAUGCGCAGAUAUCGGGAAGAACACCCGUGGCGAAGGCGGCGUCCUGGACCAACACUGACACUGAGGAGCGAAAGCCAGGGGAGCAAACGGG